rnacentral:rRNA from 1 species
UACAUAGGGGGCAAGCGUUAUCCGGAAUUAUUGGGCGUAAAGCGUGCGUAGGCGGUUUAUUAAGUCUGGUGUGAAAUUUCACAGCUUAACUGUGAAGGGUCAUUGGAAACUGAUAAACUUGAGUACGGUAGAGGUAAGUGGAAUUCCAAGUGGAGCGGUGGAAUGCGUAGAGAUUUGGAGGAACACCAGUGGCGAAGGCGGCUUACUGGGCCGGAACUGACGCUGAGGCACGAGAGCGUGGGGAGCAAACAGGAUUAGAAACCCCGGUAGUCC